rnacentral:rRNA from 1 species
AUUGAACGCUGGCGGCAUGCCUUACACAUGCAAGUCGAACGGUAACAGGUUAAGCUGACGAGUGGCGAACGGGUGAGUAAUGCAUCGGAACGUGCCCGAUCGUGGGGGAUAACGCAGCGAAAGCUGCGCUAAUACCGCAUACGAUCGGAGGGUGAAAACGGGGGACCGUAAGGCCUCGCGCGAUCGGAGCGGCCGAUGUCAGAUUAGGUAGUUGGUGGGGUAAAGGCCCACCAAGCCGACGAUCUGUAGCUGGUCUGAGAGGACGACCAGCCACACUGGGACUGAGACACGGCCCAGACUCCUACGGGAGGCAGCAGUGGGGAAUUUUGGACAAUGGGCGAAAGCCUGAUCCAGCAAUGCCGCGUGCAGGAAGAAGGCCUUCGGGUUGUAAACUGCUUUUGUACGGAGCGAAAAGGUCCUUUCUAAUACAAGGGGCUCAUGACGGUACCGUAAGAAUAAGCACCGGCUAACUACGUGCCAGCCGCCGCAGUAA